rnacentral:rRNA from 1 species
GAUGAACGCUGGCGGCGUGCCUAAUACAUACAAGUCGAGCGAACAGAUGAGGAGCUUGCUCCUCUGACGUUAGCGGCGGACGGGUGAGUAACACGUGGAUAACCUACCUAUAAGACUGGGAUAACUUCGGGAAACCGGAGCUAAUACCGGAUAAUAUAUUGAACCGCAUGGUUCAAUAGUGAAAGACGGUUUUGCUGUCACUUAUAGAUGGAUCCGCGCCGCAUUAGCUAGUUGGUAAGGUAACGGCUUACCAAGGCAACGAUGCGUAGCCGACCUGAGAGGGUGAUCAGCCACACUGGAACUGAGACACGGUCCAGACUCCUACGGGAGGCAGCAGUAGGGAAUCUUCCGCAAUGGGCGAAAGCCUGACGGAGCAACGCCGCGUGAGUGAUGAAGGUCUUCGGAUCGUAAAACUCUGUUAUUAGGGAAGAACAAAUGUGUAAGUAACUAUGCACGUCUUGACGGUACCUAAUCAGAAAGCCACGGCUAACUACGUG